UGUAAGCGUAUACCAAAGUUGUUGCAGUUAAAACGCUCGUAGUCGUAGUUUGGCGAUUCCGGGUGUGAGCACGUCGUGUGCGCACUUCGCGGGGAUUGCUUUUGUGGUCUUGCGUAGGAUGAGGCACUUUUAUUAGUGAACGUCCUCACGCAACCACUUUUUACUGUGAGAAAAUCAGAGUGCUCAAAGCAGGCAUUUGCCGUGAAUAUAUUAGCAUGGAAUAAUGAAAUACGACGAUUAUUCGAUUUUGUUGGUUUAUUGAAAGAUCGUAAUGAUAAAUAGGGACAGUCAGGGGCAUUCGUAUUUAACUGUCAGAGGUGGAAUUCUUGGAUUUGUUAAAGACGCACUACUGCGAAAGCAUUUGCCAGGGAUGUUUUCAUUGA
rnacentral:rRNA from 1 species